rnacentral:rRNA from 1 species
UUGACCUCAAAUCAGGUAGGACUACCCGCUGAACUUAAGCAUAUCAAUAAGCGGAGGAAAAGAAACUAACAAGGAUUCCCCUAGUAACUGCGAGUGAAGCGGGAAAAGCUCAAAUUUAAAAUCUGGCGGUCUCCGGCCGUCCGAGUUGUAAUCUAGAGAAGUGUUAUCCGCGCUGGACCGUGUACAAGUCUCCUGGAAUGGAGCGUCAUAGAGGGUGAGAAUCCCGUCUUUGACACGGACUGCCAGGGCUUUGUGAUGCGCUCUCAAAGAGUCGAGUUGUUUGGGAAUGCAGCUCAAAAUGGGUGGUAAAU